UUUUUGUUAAGAUAUGAUGUUUCUCUGUAAUUUUUUUAUUUUUUAUAAAUUGUGGUUGUAUUUCUCUCCACUCUACUACUCUGAUAGGUUUAAUGUCAUGUGGCUAUACAUGUGGAUGGAUUAUGUGGAUGGAUUAUGCCAACAUCCUCAAUGGACAGGUAGACCCUAAUGAUCCAUUUUCAACAUUUGGUUACAUGCCUGCUACUCAAAAUGAAGGUGACAAUGAAGUGCCUCAAGUGACUGUUUUAAUUGGAUCAACCACCACGA
rnacentral:lncRNA from 1 species